rnacentral:rRNA from 1 species
AUUGAACGCUGGCGGCAUGCCUUACACAUGCAAGUCGAACGGUAACAGGUCUUCGGAUGCUGACGAGUGGCGAACGGGUGAGUAAUGCAUCGGAACGUGCCCGGUUGUGGGGGAUAACUGCUCGAAAGAGCAGCUAAUACCGCAUACGACCUGAGGGUGAAAGCGGGGGAUCGCAAGACCUCGCGCAAUUGGAGCGGCCGAUGUCAGAUUAGGUAGUGGGUGGGGUAAAGGCCUACCAAGCCGACGAUCUGUAGUUGGUCUGAGAGGACGACCAGCCACACUGGGACUGAGACACGGCCCAGACUCCUACGGGAGGCAGCAGUGGGGAAUUUUGGACAAUGGGCGCAAGCCUGAUCCAGCAAUGCCGCGUGCAGGAAGAAAGCCUUCGGGUUGUAAACUGCUUUUGUCAGGGAAGAAAUCCUCUGGGUUAAUACCCCGGGGGGAUGACGGUACCUGAAGAAUAAGCACCGGCUAACUACGUGCCAGCAGCCGCCGUAAAAC